CCCUUAGAUGUUCUGGACUGCACGCGCGCUACACUGAAGCUAUCAACACGUUUUCCCUCCCUGAGAAGGGCGGGUAACCUUUUGAAUCAGCUUCGUGGUAGGGAUCGGGGCUUGAAAUUGUUCCCCGUGAACCAGGAAUUCCUAGUAGACGCGAGUCAUAAGCUCGCAUCGAUUAAGUCCCUGCCCUUUGUACACACCGCCCGUCGCUACUACCGAUUGAACGUUUUAGUGAGGCAUUUGGACCGACGCAUCUCAGUUUAACCGCUGGUUUGUGUUGGAAAGACCUCCAAACUUGAGCGUUUAGAGGAAGUAAAAGUCGUAACA
rnacentral:rRNA from 1 species